rnacentral:rRNA from 1 species
UUAGACGGGGAGCACCACAACAGGUGGAGCCCGCGGUUUAAUCGGACUCAACGCCGGGAAACUCACCAGAUAAGACAGCUGAAUGAUAGUCGGGCUGAAGACUCUACUUGACUAGCUGAGAGGAGGUGCAUGGCCGUCGUCAGUUCGUACUGUGAAGCAUCCUGUUAAGUCAGGCAACGAGCGAGACCCACGCCAACAGUUGCCAGCUCGUCCUCCGGGAUGGUGGGGACACUGUUGGGACCGCCUCUGCUAAAGAGGAGGAAGGAAUGGGCAACGGUAGGUCAGCAUGCCCCGAAUUAUCUGGGCUACACGCGGGCUACAAUGGGUGGGACAAUGGGUAUCGACACCGAAAGGUGAAGGCAAUCUCCUAAACCCAUCCGUAGUUCGGAUUGUGGGCUGCAACUCGCCCACAUGAAGCUGGAAUCUGUAGUAAUCGUGUCUCAAAAUGGCACGGUGAAUAUGUCCCUGCUCCUU